rnacentral:ncRNA from 1 species
UAUCGGGAAUGAAGUUCUCCCAAGGGUAAAACCUGAACCGCUUUUACAGGCUGAUGACUUCUGCGAUC